AUGCUCCUGCACCCUGUGUGGGGAUAGCUCAGCUCCCCUGCUCAGCUCCGCCUUCCCUCAUUUUAUAGCUGUGCAUUCAAAACUAAGACUUUCACAAUCGUGCCUGCCCUGGAGAAGGCUCAGGCUUAGAAAAGCCACCGACAUCACCCACUUAAGAAGAAGAAGAAGCAGCUUAGAACAACAUUUGAAAGAAAAGAACAAAACUCAGUGAGACCAGAGGAGGUAGAAGAAUCUGAUUGCCAGACUUUCUGUAUUGUUAGAUUCAAAUGUCGUUUUCAGUCAAAAAUCCUAAGUCCUACAAAGAACAGAAAAGAAUGUUCCAUUCAGAGCAAUAAUUAAACCAAUUUUAACUUUUUUAAAAGAAAGAUUUAUUUAUUUUAUGUAUAUGAGUGCUCUAUCUGCAUGUACACCUGUGUGCCAGAAGAGGGCAUCACAUGAGCCACCAUGUUGGUUGUUGAAAAUUGAACUUAAGACCUCUGGAAGAGCAGUCAGUGUUCUUAAACAGUCCCUAAGUUUAGCUCUUAAAAAGACCUCUUAGAUCUCUAG
rnacentral:lncRNA from 1 species